CAGGGAAUAUUGGUUCAUGUGCGAAAGCGCGAACCAGCAACGCCGCGUGUGCGAUGAAGGCCUUCGGGUCGUAAAGCCCUUUUUGCAGGGAAGAGGAAGGACGGUACCUGCAGAAUAAGUCUCGGCUCACUACGUGCCAGCAGCCGCGGUAAAACGUAGGAGACGAGCGUUAUCCGGAUUUACUGGGCGUAAAGCGCGUGCAGGCGGCAUGGCAAGUUGGAUGUGAAAGCUCCCGGCUUAACUGGGAGAGGUCGUUCAAUACUGCCAGGCGUGAGAGUGGUAGAGGGAAGCGGAAUUCCGGGUGUAGUGGUGAAAUGCGUAGAUAUCCGGAGGAACACCAGUGGCGAAAGCGGCUUCCUGGCCCAUUUCUGACGCUCAGACGCGAAAGCUAGGGUAGCAAACGG
rnacentral:rRNA from 1 species